rnacentral:rRNA from 1 species
ACGAACGCUGGCGGCACGCCUAACACAUGCAAGUCGAACGCUCGGGGGCAACUCCGGGAGUGGCGGACGGGUGAGUAACGCGUGGGAACCUGCCUCGAGGUGCGGGACAACUCCGGGAAACCGGGGCUAAUACCGCAUGAUGCGGCGAGCAAUCGUCGCUAAAGAUUUAUCGCCUUGAGAGGGGCCCACGUCGGAUUAGGUAGUUGGUGGGGUAACAGCCUACCAAGCCUUCGAUCCGUAGCUGGUCUGAGAGGAUGGCCAGCCACACUGGGACUGAGACACGGCCCAGACUCCUACGGGAGGCAGCAGUGGGGAAUCUUGGACAAUGGGGGCAACCCUGAUCCAGCGAUGCCGCGUGGGUGAUGAAGGCCUUCGGGUUGUAAAGCCCUUUCGGCGGGGACGAUAGUGACGGUACCCGCAGAAGAAGCCUCGGCUAACUCCGU